CAGGGGACGUUUUGUUUUACAGUUUCAUAGAGGCGCCAUUGUUUUCUAUUGCUCUCAAAAACAGCAUAUCAACUUGAAGUUACUCCCAGACUUACAAGUCUGCUCAGGAAUGGAUGGUGUGCUUCACCUCGCUUGCUGAUUCAUAUUUUGAUGAUACUUUCGAGGGAGACAAGGAAGAGAGGUUACAAAAUGAAGACUUUCAUUCUUUUAUAUUUUCUAGGACUAACUUGCAACAAGGUCUCUGCAAAUGGCAACUCAACAAAAGUCUACUAUAUGGUACUGAGGACUGAGGCGUCCAUACCGGACAACCGUAUUAAUGCUAUACUCAAAUCUUUUAAAAUGGACAAUCCUGUGAGUGUUGACACCCUUAACGUCACAACAGAUUGUGUCCCUCUUCAAAACAAAACUCAGUGCAAAUGCACACCAGGGCAUAUCUGGAGUGUUGCAGUGUGUCAGUCUUCACCUAACUGUUGUAAACAAAAAAACUGCACAUUUGAAACCACAGAAACAAAACCAAUGUGUCUCCCUGAAACAAGUGUGUGUGUGUGUGUGUGUGUGU
ensembl:lncRNA